AGGACCGAAGUGGACGAACCUCUGGUGUACCAGUUGUUUCAUCAGAAGCACCGCUGGGUAGCUAUGUUCGGAAAGGAUAAGCGCUGAAAGCAUAUAAGUGCGAAACCUGACCUAAGAUUAGUUCUCCCUAUCAUUUGAUAAUAAGACUCGUUGUAGACUACGACGUUGAUAGGCCACAAGUGUAAGUGUAGUAAUAUAUUUAGCUGAGUGGUACUAAUUAGUCGAAAGGCUUUAUCAA
rnacentral:rRNA from 1 species